rnacentral:rRNA from 1 species
GACGAACGCUGGCGGCGUGCUUAACACAUGCAAGUCGUACGGUAAGGCCCUUUCGGGGGUACACGAGUGGCGCACGGGUGCGUAACACGUGAGUAACCUUCCCACACCUUUGGGAUAACGCUAGGAAACUGGUGCUAAUACUGGAUAUGUGCUCCUGCUGCAUGGUGGGGGUUGGAAAGCUCCGGCGGUUGUUGAUGGACUCGCGGCCUAUCAGCUUGUUGGUGGGGUAGUGGCCUACCAAGGCGGCGACGGGUAGCCGGACUGAGAGGGUGACCGGCCACAUUGGGACUGAGAGACGGCCCAGACUCCUACGGGAGGCAGAAGUGGGGAAUAUUGCACAAGGGGCGCAAGCCUGAUGCAGCAACGCCGCGGGCGGGAUGACGGCCUUCGGGUUGUAAACCGCUUUCAGCAGGGACGAAGCUUUUUGUGACGGUACCUGCAGAAGAAGCACCGGCUAACUACGUG